rnacentral:tRNA from 1 species
UCCUCGAUAGCUCAACGGUAGAGCAAUCGGCUGUUAACCGAUGGGUUACAGGUUCGAAUCCUGUUCGAGGAGCC